CAGGUGGUGCAUGGUUGUCGUCAGCUCGUGUCGUGAGAUGUUGGGUUAAGUCCCGCAACGAGCGCAACCCUUAAGCUUAGUUGCCAGCAUUAAGUUGGGCACUCUAAGUUGACUGCCGGUGACAAACCGGAGGAAGGUGGGGAUGACGUCAAAUCAUCAUGCCCCUUAUGAUUUGGGCUACACACGUGCUACAAUGGACAAUACAAAGGGCAGCUAAACCGCGAGGUCAUGCAAAUCCCAUAAAGUUGUUCUCAGUUCGGAUUGUAGUCUGCAACUCGACUACAUGAAGCUGGAAUCGCUAGUAAUCGUAGAUCAGCAUGCUACGGUGAAUACGUUCCCGGGUCUUGUACACACCGCCCGUCACACCACGAGAGUUUGUAACACCCGAAGCCGGUGGAGUAACCAUUUAUGGAGCUAGCCGUCGAAGGUGGGACAAAUGAUUGGGGUGAAGUCGUAACAAGGUAGCCGUAUCGGAAGGUGCGGCUGGAUCACCUC
rnacentral:rRNA from 1 species